UCUACAGUGAAACUGGCAACUUUGUAAUAAACACCGAUAGGUGAAAUGUCAAAUGUAUUUUUUAAACAAAACAAACGAUCUUGAUUCCACAUCGAAUUUAAAACUCUUGUGAUAAUUUUCUAAAUGUUUGUAGUUUUUCAAUCAACUUCGCGUGAUCGGUGCCCUGAUAGGUUUCAUGGACGUUCAAUUGUUCCUCCGCGGCGAGCAUUUCGGAGGUUCGUUGAAAAUGGAUAAGAAACUGGAUUGUUGAGAAGUUAUUAUGAUCUGGGAGCUAUGAUGGUUGUGAGCCCAGUGAAGUGUUCGGUUGGUGUUUUUCGUUAAAGGAAGUUUCCUACCAUUCAAAUGGACACGAAAGUGCUGAUUGGCUACCGGAGUAAAACAGCGGAAUAACUCCAAUUGUACAAUGACAUGGGUGAACAGGCCAUGAUAAAAGAUUGUCCAGCUGCGCAGUACAUCAAGGAAAUGGAAUCCAGACCACACCGGGUACAACGUAUUCUGGCGAUCAUCAUAUGAAUAGUUUCGUAUGGACGAAUCCUGCUUAAAAUUAGUAUAUGAGUUAUAAAAUAAUGAGACCGUCUGUUCAACCAAUCGGCCACAUCAGGAGCCGAUGUUGGUUCCUGUGCAACUGGAAGGGAGGACCUAAAGAGUCUAUCGAAGAAGUGAGAACCAUCGACAAGACUUGAAGACAUGAGUAUUUAAGAUAAAUUAUGUGUACCUUAUUCAAUAAAUCAAAUUUUAAUAACUCCGGGAAUGGAUAAAUAUAUGUUUUUACUUC